UACGUAGGGGGCAAGCGUUGUCCGGAAUCAUUGGGCGUAAAGCGCGUGUAGGCGGCUUGGUAAGUCCGCUCUGAAAGCCCGGGGCUCAACCCCGGGAGGCGGGUGGAUACUGCUCAGCUCGAGUCCGGAAGAGGAGUGUGGAAUUCCUGGUGUAGCGGUGAAAUGCGCAGAUAUCAGGAGGAACACCAAUGGCGAAGGCAGCACUCUGGGACGGUACUGACGCUGAGACGCGAAAGCGUGGGGAGCGAACAGG
rnacentral:rRNA from 1 species